CCCGCCGGCCUCACCCCUGCCUCUCGCCCUGCCAGUGCCAGGCGCUCGUGUUGCAGUACGAGCCGGCGGCCGUGCGGCUCUUCGUGCAGAUGAUGGACCCCACCUUCGUCUGCACUAAAAUCAGAGCGUGCGACUCAGGCAAGGAGGAUCUCCUGGGCUCGGCCCCCUGUGUCUGGGGCCCGCAGUACUGGUGCAAGAACAUGGCCACGGCGGUCGAGUGCAGUGCUGUCGCACACUGCCGGCGUCACGUGUGGAACUAGGAGCCAUCUCCCCAGCUGGCUGGACUUGCUCUGCCGUUUGUUUCGGAUCCUGGCUCCCUUCCCUUGGGACGUGCCUGCACUCACAGACGGCAAAGGCAGGAGCCAACCGGCCCCAUCGGGGCUGUGGGGAACCCCGGUGGCCUCGGCCGCUUCCUCUUCCACUCCUGGGGCUUGGAUUUCCAAAACAGGUUAAGGGACUCGUUAAUGUUUUCAGGACUAGGGAUUCAGCCUUGACGUCUCUCAGGGUGAUUGCAACAUCCCCAAUCUCUGUUCCCACCUCUGUCUCCAUCCCCAGUCCCUUCUCUACCUCUCCAUCCCACCCUGAACCACUCGUAAGGCCCAGAUCCCUCAACGUGGAUCUGUCCCCGUGGGCUGGGCUGGGUUCUGCUGCCCAAACACCAGGCUCGAGUUCCUGGCUGGCAGCAGCCUCACCUGAACAUAAAACGAAUGAGUUUGGGUGCAAGGAUUCCCUUUCCAGCCCCGUCCCUGCUGGGAAUCCUGUGCUGACCCAGUGGAGGGCAGCGGGGGGCCGGCUCGUCCCUCCCCACCGUAUCGGGGGGAUGCCUGGCCCUGAGCGUGCCUGGGAGCCUCCCAUCACAAAUAAACUCUUCCCGUGAGCCUGGCUGCUUGUGUCCUUCCU
ensembl:lncRNA